CCUACGGGAGGCAGCAGUGGGGAAUAUUGGGCAAUGGGCGCAAGCCUGACCCAGCAACGCCGCGUGAAGGAAGAAGGUCUUCGGGUCGUAAACUUCUUUUAAGAGGGAAGAGCAGAAGACGUUACCUUUUGAAUAAGCUACGGCUAACUACGUGCCAGCAGCCGCGGUAAUACGUGGGUGGCAACCGUUGUCCGGAUUUACUGGGUGUAAAGGGCGUGAAGCCGGGAGGAAAAGUCAGUGGUCAAAUCCCGCGGCUAAACCGGGAAACUGCAUUGAAACUGGUUUUCUUGAGUGCCGGAGAGGUCAUUGGAAUUCCUGGUGUAGGGGUGAAAUGCGUAGAUAUAAGGAGGAACACCAGUGGCGAAGGCGAAUGACUGGACCGCAACUGACGGUGAGGCGCGAAAGCGUGGGGAGCAAACAGGAUUAGAUACCCGAGUAGUC
rnacentral:rRNA from 1 species